GACCCAUAUAAAUGAUUGGGAGCCAAUGGUGUGUCCUCCGUUCCCGUGUUGGCUUGCCUGGAGGACCCUGCCCUUCUGCCUGACUGUAAAGCACCUUUGUUCAGCUCAGGGAGAUACUUUGGCCCUGCCCACCUGUGAAUAGAAGAGAUUAACACGCCCCUUGCAAAGGCUGGCCAUUCGCUUGGAGAUGUUCUGCAAGACUGAAGGCGCUUUCACUUUACUUCCCGACUGCCUCGCCCUCUCUAUUCUUCCUUUUGACUUUAGUUCCUCAUUGCUUCUUUCUCUCUGAUCUAUAAAAGAACCUGGCAUCCACAUCCUGACAAAAGGGUUAUUUUGAGGCACUAGCCUGCCAUCUUCUCAGUCAGCUGCUUCCCGAAUAAAGUCUCCUGUCUCAACACCUUGUCUCUCGGAUUCAUUGGCCUGUCGUGCUGCAAGCAGAGUGAGCCUGGACUCAGUAACACUGACAUUGUCAAAUGUCCCCUAAUGACUAAAAAACCACUGGUAUAGAGUCUACCCUAGAAACAGUGUGGUCUGCAGACCAGCAGCAUAAGCCUCACCGGGGAGUUUCUUCAAGAUGCCAAAUCCCAGGCCCCUUAUCAGAACUGCUGAGCCAGGAUCUGCAGUUUAUCAAGAUCCCCCAGCUGGCCUCGGGUGGUUUCAUGGCUGCUCCUCCCUUGAUUAGCAACUGCUCGAAUUUGCUUUUUGGAACUCAGAACAUGAAGACUUUCUGAGCAGAUUGUCAUCAAAAGAUCAGCAGACUUUUUCAAAAAUGUCAAAUCACAUAUAAGUUUCUCACAAGUGAUGAAAUCACUGAUACCGCAAGUUUCCAAUUAACAGGACUAUACAAGGAAUUACUUCCUUUACACUUUGGACUCCAUAGCUUGUGUUCGGAAUCCCAGUGGUCUCCACUGACAUUGAAGUCAGAGCUCGAAAAUACCACCAGGUGGCGCCAAUACCACUUUAAUAGAUUGAGAAAUGGCCAAGCUUGUUUCUAAUAAACAUAAAUCCUUCCAAUUUUUUUUAAAGAAUUUUUAAAAUUUCUUUCUUUCUUUACUGUUCUGGGUCUUUGUUUCUGCGUGGGCUUUUCUCUAGUUGAGGUGAGCAGGGGCUAUUCUCUAGGUGUGGUGGCUUUGGCUUCUCCUUAGGGUGGUUUCUCUUGUUGCAGAGAGGGGGGCUCAGUAGUUGUGGCUCACGGGCUUAGCUGCAUGUGGGAUAUUCCUGUACCAGGGGUGUAACCUGUGUGCCCUGC
ensembl:lncRNA